UUGAUCCUGUCUUUUACAAUUAGUUUUUAGUUAACAUUAAAUAUAAGUUUUUGCGGGCUAUUAAUUUAUCUUAAUGGUGAAUUUAUUUUUAUUUGUAGUUUUUAAUUUUAUUUCAUCAAAUAUUUUUGGAAAUAGUUAAAUUAAUAAGAAUCGUUAAAUUUUGUGCCAGCAAACGCGGUUACACAAUUGAUUCAAUUUAAUUUUUUUGGUUUAUAUUUAUUUAUUUUAUUUAAGUUAAAUAGAAAAUUAUAAGGUGAAAUUUUUAAUUUUAUUUAUUCUUUAGGUUUAAGAAAAUAAGAAAUUUAGUUUUUAAACUAGGAUUAGAUACCCUAUUAUUCUAAAUGUAAAAAUUUAACCAUAGUAUUAAUAGUUAAGAUCUUUAAAUUAAAAGGAUUUGGCGGUAAUUUAGUCUUUUCAGAGGAACCUGUUCUUUAAUCGAUAAUCCACGUUGUAUUUUACUUUAAUUUAUUGUUUGUAUAUCUCUGUUAAUGAAUGUUUUAUUAGAAUAUUUUCUUUUAUUAUUAUUUAAUUAAUAUCAGGUCAAGGUGCAGCUAUAUUAAAGGUUGAAAUGGGUUACAUUUAUUUUUAUUUAUUGAAUUAUUAAUAUUGUAAAUUAUAUAAUAUGAAAUAGGAUUUGAAAGUAAUUUUUUUUAUUUAUUAAAAAUGAUUUUAGCUCUAAAUUAUGUACACAUCGCCCGUCGUUCUCAUUCCUAAGGUGAGAUAAGUCGUAACAAAGUAAUUUUACCGGAAGGUGAAGUUG
rnacentral:ncRNA from 1 species